UUGGUGGUCCGAAUGUCCGAUAAUGGAUAUGAACUUCAGUUGAAGCCUGGUUGACUAUGCUCGACCUAGCAGGGAGGAGGAACCCAUGGCGUGAUGGAAGAUGAGGAUCCGAAAUUGCAGAGAUGAUGUCUCAAGGAAUGAGCACUAUUUUUGGUUAUCAGGCUGAUUGAUCUUUGGUUAUUGCUAAUUUUUGGUGUAGCAAAUCAUGCUUCUCCGUACAAGUUGGUAGAGGCAUGAAGGCAAAACAACAAAAGGAAAUGGCCCCUGGUGUGAUAUUUGGUCAUGUUCUAGACCAGAGUAUCUUUAUAUUAAUUCAAAGACGGACAAUUGACGUAGAAAUGACAUGUUAGUCCAAUCUCGAAGGCUGCGGUUGCAGAGAACGAGUUAUGUUGAUAUACGAAAUCUGGGGCAUUGGCUUAUCGUGGCACCUUUAACCACAUAUUCUUCUUAUCUUUUCAGUUCUUU